GACGAACGCUGACGGUGUGCUUUAGACAUGCAAGUCGAACGAGAAAGCCCUUCGGGUUAGUAAAGUGGCGAACGGGUGAGUAACACGUGGGCAAUCUGCCCCUCGCAGGGGGACGAACCGGAGGAAACCCCGGCUAAUACCCCGUAAGUUCAAGGGAGGCAUCUCCCUUCGAAGAAAGGUAGCUUCGGCCAUCCGGCGAGGGAUGAGCCCGCGGUGCAUUAGCUAGUUGGUGGGGUAACGGCCCACCAAGGCGACGAUGCAUAGCUGGUCUGAGAGGAUGAUCAGCCACACGUGGGACUGAGAC
rnacentral:rRNA from 1 species